rnacentral:rRNA from 1 species
AACCUCCGCAAUGUGAGAAAUCGCGACGGGGGGAUCCCAAGUGCCAUUCUUAACGGGAUGGCUUUUCAUUAGUGUAAAGAGCUUUUGGAAUAAGAGCUGGGCAAGACCGGUGCCAGCCGCCGCGGUAACACCGGCAGCUCUAGUGGUAACAAUUUUUAUUGGGCCUAAAGCGUCCGUAGCCGGUUUAAUAAGUCUCUGGUGAAAUCCUGUAGCUUAACUGUGGGAAUUGCUGGAGAUACUAUUAGACUUGAGACCGGGAGAGGUUAGAGGUACUCCCAGGGUAGAGGUGAAAUUCUGUAAUCCUGGGAGGACCGCCUGUUGCGAAGGCGUCUAACUGGAACGGUUCUGACGGUGAGGGACGAAAGUUAGGGGCGCGAACCGGAUUAGAUACCCGGGUAGUCCUAACUGUAACGAUGCGGACUUGGUGUUGGGUGGCUUGAGCUGCUCCAGUGCCGAAGGGAAGCUGUUAAGUCCGCCGCCUGGGAAGUACGGUCGCAAGACUGAAACUUAAAGGAAGU